UUCGUUUCUUCCUCUUCACACGAUUCAUAUACAACUUGUGUAUUCAAUCGAAUUCAUCGACAAAGCAUACCAAUCAUCUCUGUUCUUCACCGGAUUCAUCAGUGUUGGGGGUGCAGGAUAGAAUGUGUCGUUAGAUACAUGGAGCUUGCACAGGGAGGAGCAGGUCGUUGUGGAGCAUGGAUCGUGGAUGCCAUGUUAAAACAUUUGAACAUUUGAACUUAUGUUACACAUUGGGUUUUCAUACUUAUGCUUCCGCUAUACUUUGAAACUAUGAUUAUGUUUUGAACACCUAUCGUAUUGAAUGAUUGGUUUACAUU
rnacentral:lncRNA from 1 species